rnacentral:rRNA from 1 species
GAUGAACGCUGGCGGCGUGCCUAAUACAUGCAAGUCGAGCGAACGGACGAGAAGCUUGCUUCUCUGAUGUUAGCGGCGGACGGGUGAGUAACACGUGGAUAACCUACCUAUAAGACUGGGCUAACUUCGGGAAACCGGAGCUAAUACCGGGUGAUAUUUUGACCCGCAUGGUUCAAAAGUGAAAGACGGUCUUGCUGUCGCUUAUAGAUGUAUCCGCGCUGCAUUAGCUAGAUGGUAAGGUAACGGCCUACCAAGGCAACGAAGCAUAGCCGACCGGAGAGGCGGAUAGGCCACCUGAGAGCGUGGACAGCGACACGGCGACUGAGGGAGGCAGCAGAAGGGAAUGUUCCGCAAUAGGGGAGAGCCUUACGGAGCAGCGCCGCGUGAGUGGUGGAGGUCUUCGGUUCGUAAAACUCUGUUAUGAGGUAAGAACAGAUGUGUAAGUAACUGUGCACAUCGUGACGGUACCUAAACAGAAAGCCACGGCUAACUACGUG